GUGUGCCUGCCAUCCAUCAAUCUCGACCAUUAGAUCUGGAUCUGACGAAGGAGAGGCAACCCACUUUAUAACCACCUUAUCCAACCAAGCAACCAGAAUCACUCGAUCCUUCUUGAAAAGGGGAGAACGAUGGAAACAAGCCUUGAUUUCUUGAUGGAACCAGUGGCCGCUGCCGCUGCAUGCGCCGCCGGCGCUGGUUGUUCCAGACCCCUCUCUUGACUCCUCUCUGUCGCCACCGCUCACUAGAACCUCCACCGCCACCUCCCCGUUGUCUCAUCUCGCCCUACCCCAUCUCCUCCUAUGCUGACCAGCAAGUACGCCGCCGGCAUGGCCCGUCCCUCAAGUCCACGACGCUUCUUCUCUGAUAACUCUCUUGCCUUCUUUUCUGAUGCAGCAGCCCCGCCGCCCACCACCUACUCCUCCUCCCCGGCAUUUCCUCGCCGCCGAAGCCGCCCUUCCCCCAAGUCUGCGACGCCUCUCCUGCAUCCUCCUCUGAUGCAGAAGCCCCAGCACCUUCGCCUCCUCUCCGCUGUCUCCACCGACGCCGACCUUCGCGUAUGCCGGCUAUGCGCUACACAUCAUCGGCGGCGGCUGGGCUCCUUCCACGCCUACGUGCUACAGGUUCUUCCAAUUAGAGUACGAGCUACUCCCCGAGGACUGCUUUGUUGUGUGCAAUUGGAGCGCCACCCACGAGCUCCACACUCGCGUUCUCCUCCAAUUGACUCCAUCUGGAAGAUGGCUGGUCUGGUGCGAUGUUGGCGUGGAGGAGCUAUGCUCUGCUAUUGCCAUCUAAUAUGUUUCGUCAAGAACCAAGUAGGUCUCUAUGUCAUUGAUGCCCCUCCUUUUCUUGGUAGCUCCACAUCCAAUUUUUCAGGUUAGACACCAAUUUUUUUCCUUGAUGUCAGUUACUGGCAUCUUUUCUUUUGCAGAAAGUUACAAUUUUUGUGUGUGUAUGCACAAGUACACUCGCCCCUUCUAUAUACACAUGAUUUCAAAGCAUGUCUUACUAUACAUUUUUUUUUCUUUGCUUGGUACAAAAUGUAUUGCAAGCGAUGUUCAUUGUUUUUUGCUUUGUUUAAAUAUACUUUAAGCUCAGUUUUUUUUCCUUUGUCUGAAUGUAACAUAGGCAAUUAUGUAGGUGGGCAGAUGGAGAUGUACCGUGCUUCAAAAAUUAUUCCCUGGCGUGAUCUAAGGUAUGUAACUAAUUAAGUGGAACUAGAUGUGUGAGUUAUGUCUGAAAUGUUCUUCUCUUCUUGGUGGUGUUGUAUACAAAUUCAUUUUUCUUGCGUAUAUUUACGAAAUCAUUCGGUUAAACACUUCUACUUCAUUCAUGUUUGUCUUGGAACUAUUAAUAUAAGUGUGUACUGUUUGGAUAUAUUAAUUGCUGCAAUUAUCUUCACAUUUAAGUCCGGUGUGCCUAAUAUACUGGCAUGAAAUGGGCAAUGUUGGCUUCCUGGAUGAACGGUAACUGAAUAGCUUGUUUGCUUUGUACAACCUUUCCAAGGAAAGAAGCAAUUCUCUGUUGCAGUAGUUUGUUGCAGUGGUUCUAAGGCUGGACAUGAUAAUAUGUAUUUUAGAUCACAGGCUGUGCUAGAAAUUUUGGAGGUCUGGUGUGGGGGCAGUUGUCGCAUCUUUUACAAUUUCACAAUUCGGAGUUAUCAGUUGUGACGCUCGCACGACUUGCAGUUGACGAAGCCAAUGUUGGAAGGAUGUUGACGCAUGGAACAUCAUUUGACAUACUCCCUCCGUUCCGAAUUAUUUGUCUUGGAUUUGUCUAGAUACGGAUGUAUCUAGACUUAUUUUAGUGCUAGAUACCUCCGUAUCUAGACAAAUCUAAGACAAGUAAUUCGGAACGGAGGGAGUAGUAGUCUAGCUUAGUGAGCCCCGGUCAUUUUUUUGUACUUGUAUAUAAUCUCUUUUGCAUGCAAGUUAAGUGUUUUACUUUUUUGUUUUCCUUUUUCAUGUGACUUCUCCUAGCCAAUUAAUGAUUGUGGUAUGUU